rnacentral:rRNA from 1 species
CGAACGGGUGAGUAAUAUAUCGGAACAUACCCAGUAGUGGGGGAUAACUAUCCGAAAGGAUAGCUAAUACCGCAUACGAUCUGUGGAUGAAAGCAGGGGAUCUUCGGACCUUGUGCUAUUGGAAUGGCCGAUAUCUGAUUAGCUAGUUGGUAGGGUAAAAGCCUACCAAGGCGACGAUCAGUAGCUGGUCUGAGAGGACGACCAGCCACACUGGAACUGAGACACGGUCCAGACUCCUACGGGAGGCAGCAGUGGGGAAUUUUGGACAAUGGGGGCAACCCUGAUCCAGCAAUGCCGCGUGAGUGAAGAAGGCCCUCGGGUUGUAAAGCUCUUUUGUCAGGGAAGAAACGGAGUUCUCUAAUAUAGGAUUCUAAUGACGGUACCUGAAGAAUAAGCACCGGCUAACUACGUGCCAGCAGCCGCGGUAAUACGUAGGGUGCAAGCGUUAAUCGGAAUUACUGGGCGUAAAGCGUGCGCAGGCGGUUUUGUAAGUCUGAUGUGAAUCCCCGGGCUCAACCUGGGAACUGCAUUGGAGACUGCAAGGCUAGAGUGUGUCAGAGGGGGGUAGAAUUCCACGUGUAGCAGUGAAAUGCGUAGAGAUGUGGAGGAAUACCGAUGGCG